ACGAACGCUGGCGGCGUGCUUAACACAUGCAAGUCGAACGCGAAAGGGACUUCGGUCCUGAGUAAAGUGGCGCACGGGUGAGUAACGCGUAGAUAACCUGUCUUCGUGUCUGGAAUAAUACACCGAAAGGGGUACUAAUACCGGAUAAUCUUGCUUUUCAUAAGUUUUGCAAGCAAAGGUGGCCUCUGACUUAAGCUACUGCAUGAAGAGGGGUCUGCGUACCAUUAGCUAGUAGGUGGGGUAAAGGCCUACCUAGGCAACGAUGGUUAGCGGGUCUGAGAGGAUGAUCCGCCACACUGGCACUGGAACACGGGCCAGACUCCUACGGGAGGCAGCAGUGAGGAAUAUUGCGCAAUGGGGGCAACCCUGACGCAGCGACGCCGCGUGAGUGAGGAAGGCCUUCGGGUCGUAAAGCUCUGUCAAAGGGAAAGAAAUGUAUAAUGGCUAAUACCUGUUAUAUUUGACGGUACCCUUAAAGGAAGC
rnacentral:rRNA from 1 species